UACGGGGGGGGCAAGCGUUGUUCGGAAUUACUGGGCGUAAAGGGCUCGUAGGCGGCCAACUAAGUCAGACGUGAAAUCCCUCGGCUUAACCGGGGAACUGCGUCUGAUACUGGAUGGCCUGAGUUUGGGAGAGGGAUGCGGAAUUCCAGGUGUAGCGGUGAAAUGCGUAGAUAUCUGGAGGAACACCGGUGGCGAAGGCGGGUCUCUGGGCCGAUACUGACGCUGAGGAGCGAAAGCGUGGGGAGCGAACAGG
rnacentral:rRNA from 1 species